AGAGUUUGAUCCUGGCUCAGAUUGAACGCUGGCGGCAUGCCUUACACAUGCAAGUCGAACGGCAGCACGGGUGCUUGCACCUGGUGGCGAGUGGCGAACGGGUGAUGAUANAUCGGAACGUACCUUAUCGUGGGGGAUAACGCAGCGAAAGCUGCGCUAAUACCGCAUACGCCCUGAGGGGGAAAGCGGGGGACCGUAAGGCCUCGCGCGAUUAGAGCGGCCGAUAUCUGAUUAGCUUGUUGGUGGGGUAAAAGCCCACCAAGGCGACGAUCAGUAGCUGGUCUGAGAGGACGAUCAGCCACACUGGGACUGAGACACGGCCCAGACUCCUACGGGAGGCAGCAGUGGGGAAUUUUGGACAAUGGGGGCAACCCUGAUCCAGCAAUGCCGCGUGAGUGAAGAAGGCCUUCGGGUUGUAAAGCUCUUUUGUCAGGGAAGAAACAGCAGCUCUAACACAGUCUGCGAAUGACGGUACCUGAAGAAUAAGCACCGGCUAACUACGUGCCAGCAGCCGCGGUAAUACGUAGGGUGCAAGCGUUAAUCGGAAUUACUGGGCGUAAAGCGUGCGCAGGCG
rnacentral:rRNA from 1 species